rnacentral:rRNA from 1 species
AAUAUUUGACAAUGGGGGCAACCCUGAUCCAGCCGUGCCGCGCGUGUGAAGAAGGUCCUCGGUUUGUAACGCACUCUAAGUAGGGAGGAAGGGCUUUAGGUUAAUCCCCUGAAGUUUUGACGUUACCACCAGAUGAAGCACCGGCUAACUUUGUGCCAGCAGCCGCGGUAAUACAGAGGGUGCAAGCGUUAAUCGGAAUUACUGGGCGUAAAGCGCGCGUAGGUGGUUCAGUAAGAUGGGUGUGAAAUCCCCGGGCUUAACCUGGGAACUGCUUUCAUAACUGCUGAGCUAGAGUACGGUAGAGGGUAGUGGAAUUUCCUGUGUAGCGGUGAAAUGCGUAGAUAUAGGAAGGAACACCAGUGGCGAAGGCGACUACCUGGACUGAUACUGACACUGAGGUGCGAAAGCGUGGGGAGCAAACA